rnacentral:rRNA from 1 species
UACGAAGGGGGCUAGCGUUGUUCGGAAUCACUGGGCGUAAAGCGCACGUAGGCGGUAUAGCAAGUUAGGGGUGAAAUCCCGAGGCUUAACCUCGGAACUGCCCUUUAAAAACUGCUAUGCUGGAGUCUCGGAGGGGAUGGUGGAAUUUCCAGUGUAGAGGUGAAAUUCGUAGAUACUGGAAGGAACACCGGUGGCGAAGGCGGCCAUCUGGACGAGUACUGACGCUGAGGUGCGAAAGCGUGGGGAGCAAACAGGG